GAUGAACGCUGGCGGCGUGCCUAAUACAUGCAAGUCGAGCGAACAGACGAGGAGCUUGCUCCUCUGACGUUAGCGGCGGACGGGUGAGUAACACGUGGAUAACCUACCUAUAAGACUGGGAUUACUUCGGGAAACCGGAGCUAAUACCGGAUAAUAUAUUGAACCGCAUGGUUCAAUAGUGAAAGACGGUUUUGCUGUCACUUAUAGAUGGAUCCGCGCCGCAUUAGCUAGUUGGUAAGGUAACGGCUUACCAAGGCAACGAUGCGUAGCCGACCUGAGAGGGUGAUCGGCCACACUGUAACUGAGACACGGUCCAGACUCCUACGGGAGGCAGCAGUAGGGAAUCUUCCGCAAUGGGCGAAAGCCUGACGGAGCAACGCCGCGUGAGUGAUGAAGGUCUUCGGAUCGUAAAACUCUGUUAUUAGGGAAGAACAAAUGUGUAAGUAACUAUGCACGUCUUGACGGUACCUAAUCAGAAAGCCACGGCUAACUACGUG
rnacentral:rRNA from 1 species